ACAAAGAAAACAUCAACUUACACCCAAACUCAAUGGAAUCAACACUUUGAUAAACUGUUUUAGGUCUCAUAUAGAAUUUGCAAAAGUGCAGUUCAGAACUUUGAGGUUUAAGGCUCGUGAGGAAAGUUAUGCAUUAAAGAGGGAGAGAGAGAGAGAGAGAACAAAACUGCAGCCGUAUUGCAGAAAUCUAGGCAGCAGUCCAGAAGUUAGGAAUGACUCAAACACAUGAGUGUGGCAGACACAAUAAUUAAGCAUUCUGAAACAAUCCCAUCUAAUGUGCUUCAUCGCCAAAACAGUGUAUUAGAACCGUAGCUUCAGAUUAAUUUCACAUUUAGGCCGUUGAUCUUAUUGUUGGAAAUGCUAUAAACAAUUAUUCGGGAUGUGUCUUCCUAUGUAAUAAGGGUACUAUCAUUUUGGGUGCAGUGUGGGCUCCUUAUUCUUUAUAUUUUUUCUAGUUUACAGAGAUCUGAACUUAGAAAUGGAUAAGGAGAAGCUUCCCAAUAUUUUUUAGGUCUCUUAUACUUUCUCUCUACUGUUAUUACUUGCUUAAUGUUAGUAUUCCCCUCUCUGCAGUAAGCACUCAGAUGGUAAGGACUAUUUAUAUUUGUCAUUUCUGUGUCCCUAGUGCCUUAGUUCAUGGCUAUUAGUUCCUGAAAAAAUAUUUACUGACCGAUUUAACUGCUGACUGGCUCACUGACCAGAGGAAUGAAUGCAAGUUCGUUUUAGUUUUAGUUCAGUUUAGUUUUUAAUGGACUCACAAUCUCCAUUCUGUGGAAUACUGGAGUUAAAUCAUACACCUACAACAAAAAUAUAACUAGAAAAUUCAUAUUUCUAAAAUUAUAUUUCAUUUCUUUUAAUGUUUUCAAGGAUUAUGAAGUAGUUAAAAUGUUAAAAAUUUAACAUCGUUGGGUCCAGGAGGAAUAAAGGACUAUAUACUAGAAGCUGAUCGUUUUCAGAUAUUGUAUAUGCUGCCAGCUACCUUAGACACAUGGCCUUGAUGCCCUUUUAAAAAUUUCUUUAAGUAAGAACUUAAUGGAAACUGGACGUAGAGUAUUUAAAAUCAGCAUGUAUGAGUAAGUUCAGACAGCGGUAACUUUUGAGUGAUUCACAAAUGUCCCCUGAGGAAAGUAGGUCCCAUGAUAAUUAAGUUUAGUUAACUCCAGGUAAACCAGGCUGAACACGCUUCUUUGCAAUAGGGCUUUUUUCGGUCUUGAACGAGUCUCCAAUAGAGUAAGAGAAACAAUGGUGUCUCUCAAGCUUAUCCGAUCGUGGAAGGUUUAUUUAGCAGGACGUCUCUUGGGAUGGUAGGCAAUGCUGCUUCAUCCCAGGACUUCAUUUACUUGCUAGCAGAAGUGUGUAAAUCGGUAAUAACUGUAUGUGCAUGUAAGGAAAUUGGCCACCUUGACGGCCAUGACACAUGCCUGACUCCAGCUGUAAAAUACUUGAGGGGACAGGCAGGCUACUGCUUGUCUGUUUGGCAGCAUUGUGUUCCCAGCAGCUAACGUCAACUUGCUUAACUAGGCAGUUUAAGAAGAUGAGUUUAAUAACCAAAUUUACUCUGGGUCAGGUUUCACAGACCAGCCUGAACCUGCACCUCCAUUGCCUCAACCCCCAUCUCUAACCCCCAUGGAGAACAAAGGAUGAGGGCAGCAGGGGACAAGAAAACAUUCCUGCCUGUGUAUUCAGUGGAGCCGAGGCACUAAUAAUGAGGUUUAAAAUGAUAGGUUGGACACAUCUAGUUUAUAUUUGUACGAUAUUUUACAGAGUCCCUGAGUCCUACGGACCAGGGUCUGAUGGGAUUACAGGAUGACAAAGAUCCAGGAGAAGCUCAGCCCUAAAGACAGCAUGGCUUUGGUCACGGCUUUUCACGUGUAGGAAAAGAAACGGGUAAACUUGUAUUUAGGCACAGAUGGCAAAAGAAUAAUUACUCAAGUAUUCCUAAAAAACCACAUAGAAACAAUGCUCUCAACCCAGUCCAGUGAAUGGGGUAGACUUUCGCGUGUAUUUUCAGGUAAGAAGUAAUUGUUUUCCUGGGAGAAACAGAUUGCCAUUUGUAGUUACUAUGAAAAUCCAACCAGAAUUUAGAUAGUCAGACUCGAAGGAGAUGAACUUGCUUUAUUUUUAUUUUUAUUUUUAUUUUUUUUUAUGUUUAUUUAUUUUUGAAGGAGAGAGAGACAGAGCACGAGCCGGGGAGGGGCAGAUAGAGAGGGAGCGACAGAAUCCAAAGCAGCCUCCAGGCUCUGAGCUGUCAGCACAGAGCCCAACGUGGGGCUCCAACUCAUAAGCCAUGAGAUCACGACCUGAGCCGAAGUUGGAUGUUCAACCGACUGAGCCACCCCAGGUGCCCCUGAACUUGCUUUUAAAAGCAGAGGAGCCACGCUUUCUGCUGGCCAGAGUCCUGUGUAAGUCAAUGAUGUUCCAGAAGGAAAAGAAGGCACAUCAUACUAUACAUAAGUAUAUUGCUAUCCUCUCACAAAUCCCCUCUUCCUUCCUACUUAUUCUUGGUUUCUAUCCUAAAAGUUACAGAGCUAAUGUUAUCAAAGACACUGCCUCUCUUGGCCCAUCACAACCUCCAUCUUCUGAGAUGGAUAUAAGCAGGCAGUUGUGGGAACAAGGAAGAGAGCACAGACUUGAAUUAGGUUAAGGAAGGCCACCAAAGAAGAUGGAUGAUGAGGGGUAAGGAUGGAGAAAACCAACUUUUGACACGGUUAUCAAGGGACAAGACUAACCUCUGCUAACACACAGACCAAAGCACAUAUUGGAUCUGCCAGACUAGAUUUCUUGGGAGGAAGGGUUGUGUUAGGGCUUCAUUCUCCUGUAUAGGAGCUGCUAGCUACAUGUGCCUACUGACCACUUGAAAUGUAGCUAGUGCCACUGAGGAACUAAAUUUGAAAUUUGUAUUUAUUCUUAAUUAAUGUAAAUUUAACUAAAACGUUGAUCCUCACUUUAGUUCCUGGAAACCUUUCAAGGGGGCUUGGACUGACCUGAGUACAUAAAUCUACUUUUCAGUUGUAAAUUCUAUGAAAUCUAAAUACAGAUCAAGAAUGUCCAAUGAGUUCAGCUCCUAAUUGAGUUGUGCUUUGAGUAUAAAAUACAUACCGAUUUCAAACGCUUCGUAUGAAAAAAGAAUGUGAAAGUAUCUCAUUAAUAUUGUUUCACAUGUACUACAUGGGGAGUUGAUAAUAUUUUAAGUAACUGGUUUAAAUAUUAUUAUUUAGCUUAUAUUAAAAUUAAGCUCACUUGCUUCUUUUUAGCCCCUCCAAAAUUCAGAGCUACAUGUACCUCUCAUUAUAUUUCUACUGAUGGCAAUGUCUUACUGGCUUUUGCAUUUUGUUUUCUUUCAGCCAACACAGAACAUUCUGGAAUGGUGGAAAGUACCUUGUCCUAAGAGCCAGCGUCAAGCCUUUGUUUUGCCAAGGUUCCUUCAUGUGACCUUGAAGCAGCACAUAAAAUGCUACUGUGCACCAAGAACUCACCAACACCCCCAGCCCAGUCGUCACGGUAUGGUGGUCUCGGACUUUCCGGAUGGGAGCAAAACUGGCUCCUGAAGGCUGUCAGCAGAAAAGUUUGCUGAAACUGGCUGUGAGUAAAGCACUUAAGCAGAAAAGUACAGAACCCAGAAAUGCAGCAUCAGGAAGAAGUCAAUCUAUGAAAGGAGGAUUUUUAUUUUGAUGUCAUUUCACUCACCCUAGAAGUUAAAAAAAAAAAAAUCAAUUUCCUGCCAUAGUUUUUAGAAUGGCUGUGGACAAGGAGUGACUCAAGCCCCAAGUAUAAAGCAGGCUACACAAAUGAGUCUGAGUCAAAGAUUCCUCUUAUCUUUCAGGAAAUUGAACUAACUGCUAGAAUUGAAAUCAACAACAAAUAUUUACUGCACUUGAAACCCGGAGCUCUAAUAAAAAAAAAAUAAAUAAAAAAAAAAAAAAAAAAAAGGACAAACCUGGCAACAAAGUGCAUAUUCUAUCAAAACUUAGCGCGCUCUGAUGUAACCCAGGCGGGCAUUAUUAGGUCACACGAUGCUAAUCGCUGGAGGCUGGCAGCACCACAGGACCUGUCAGACCCAGGUCCCCUCCUCCACAACCCCCUCCCCUAGCAGCGUCUUUUGUGGCCUCUCCGCCCAGAUGGGGCACUCCUCCCAGGCUAAUCACCGCUGGCUCAGCCUCCCCGCUGCCACCGGUUGUGGUUAUUUCUAAGCGACGUCACCUGGUGCUGUGUCACCAUGGCAACAGCGGGCCACCGCUCUGAGAAGUGCAACAGGGAAACUGGGGGAAAGGAAAAAUAAGUCACAGGGCUGCACUGCCCCUGGUCACGGGCAACUUCUGAAGUGGCGAACGUGCUUCCCAUUUUAUGGAAGGGGAAACUGAGGCGCCAGUGCUCUCCCCAAUUUCCUGUGAAAGGAGGGGCAAAAUGUAAAGCCUGAUGAUCACCGCCUACCCAUGGGGCUCUGCUCCCUUGUGACUUGGAGUUCACUGGGUCAUUGCAACAAGCAUCAAAUGUGAAGGAAACAAACAAACGAACGGGGGUGGGGGUGCUUUGGGAUUAUGUAGAUGAAUCAUGAAAUCUUCAGGCAUCUAUUUUAAUGUACUAAACACGGCUCUCUCAACUACAUAUUCUGCGUAUUUUUCCAAAUACACAAUUCUUAUUUAAAUGUACGUAGUUUUGCUUUCCCGGGUGACUGACCCGUGGAUUUCAGUCAGUUCCUUAAUCUCCUCCAACAACUGCAUUUCUUUCACAAACGUAUCCCUUUUCCUUUAAGUGUUUUUUAAGAAGCAUACUGCUGAGCUGGAAAAUUAAUAACCUGGCAUAACCUGUGAUACCACCCUCACGACAAGCUCUCAAGUUACCUGUUCAUUAUUUUCCAAAAUGAUUUUAUCACCUGCGUUCCCAUGUGCAUACUUCGAUUGCUCGUCUAAUGCUGCUUUUUUCUCAAACUGGUCUGACCUCCUUCUCUAAGAGAACCAAUAGCUUUGAGUCAAACCAAAUCUGACAAGAUAAAAUGAGAGAGAGAGAGAGAGGCAAAAAAAAGAGAGAGUCUGAACAAUACCUUUUCUGGCAUGCGGAUCAUCACAUGGCUACCUCCUUAUACUCUGUAUACACACCCCUCUCCCCCCGCCAAAGUUUUGUCAUUAACGGUAUGCUAUGAUCAGGCAACUCCCCUAUACAGCACUGCUUCUACAUUUAAAGCAUUAUUUUGCUCAUGAAGUCUCUUUUAAACUUGGGGUAAAAUGCGAAAUAAUUUUUAUGAUUACAAUAAAGCCUUGUGUGCAGAUGUAAAUGAUGUUUUGCUCAUUGAAAUAGAAUCAAAAUGACUUCUUAGGGUUUAACAAAAGUGUGUGUCUGGAUGAGAAACGUAUGACUCACUUACAUCCGCAACUGCUAAGAGUCAAGAGAUACAGUUUGUACAACCACAUGCCAUUGAGCCGAUCACUGAACUUGAAACUUCAUCGCCCCAGCUACACUGUUGUUGCCGAGCCUCAAGCGGUGGACUGUCUGUGCAGGAGUCUGGACGACUGGAAGCAGAGCACCACUAUAAGGCAUCUCAUCCCUGGGUUCUUCAUGGAGCCGGGGUAGGGAGGUUGCAACAUCGCUGGUGGAAAUUUUGGUUAAGGCCACACAGAUAACCCCUGCAGCACUUGGCAGAGAUGAUCCUGUCUGCACUACUUUUUCCAGUAAGAAUGACUCAGCAGCAGAAAAUAUUUAUUAUGCCUGGUUACGACUUCUGCACAGUGCAAGGCGCUUUCUCUAACUCCCUGUCAGCUCUGCGAACAGGCCUCCCGAGGUUCAUCCAGCUUCUCAAAUGGUACCUGCAAUAUUUUCAGAGAGCCGCUAAGGAUGGAGAUCCUGUCCCUAAGCCAGCAGUUUUAAAGGUUCCCACUUAAUCUGUCUUAGGCCAAUGCUUUAGGCUUUCCCAAGGUUUCCUUAGAAGGAGAAGCACUUUGGUUUUCAAGAGUCAGGAAGACGAUGGAGAGCUUGAAAACACAUAGGUAACUGGCUCCCUCACCACACCUCCUACUAAAAAACGCACUUAGCUCACUAGAUCCCAGGAAGUUUCUAGAAAGAAAGGGCCAUCUGCACUUCUUUUCCCAAAGUGGGAAAGUGUAAAAAGGAAAGGCCCUCCGUCUGAAAUACACUUUCCUACCCUUGGGGAGUAGCCCAAUUGCCUAACUAUCAGCAAACGGGCAGGGCUGGCAGUUAGGAAAGCUGAGUUCGUUUUCACACGGUCACAAGGUAGGCAGGAGACUUGGGGUGAGUCACAGCCCCUCUCCAGGCCUUGGCUUACCCAGCCAUGAAAAGGAGACGCUGGACCAAGCAGUGGUUGUGAGACCCGGGGGUGAGUAGCUACAUAGCCACAGGUAAACAUAUACUGUAGUGUACGGAAGGAUCAGUUUUACUAAAAAAAAAAAAAAAAAAAAAAAAAAAAAAAGUUGGGACAGAAAGGAAAGUCAAAUAACUUCAGGGGUAAGUAAUUUUAAAUUUUUUGUAUUAGAGCAGACGUACAUAAUGGAGUAGAAGAUACCAUUUAGAGACUUCAGAUAAAUAAGAAGCCUUCUUCUGUCAGUCCUCAGGACUAAACCUCAGGAGACCAUCUCGUCUCUCCUCUGUUCUGAGGAGGUCUCAGUGGAAACACUUGAGGGUCUCCAGGGCCCCUUUGGCCUUGGACACGCUAGGAGUCCUGUUUCUUGCCUAGUAGUGACAGGGAUCUUUAGGGAGACACCUGUGGUCCGGUGGGGUUUGCCUGGUUCCCCUGCAGCAGAAACACAAAGUUCAUUUAAGCUAAAGAUUUCAUCUGAAUCACUAACCCUCCUCGGGGAAGCAAAGAGUGCUUCUCCAGAUCAUUCACAUGCCUGAAAUGAUCAUGGGGGUACAUGGAUUUAGUAUCACCUUUGGGGCUGGGAAAGCUAAUGUUCUCACUUCUUCACGACAACAUCAGAGACAGCCAAGGGCACCUGGGAUGUUCAUGCCACUGAAAAGUACAUCCAUUUGGUUUCAAUUGUGUUUGCUCUCACUUAUUAAGAUCAAUCUUGAUUUAGGAAAUCCAUCAAAUUAACUAGUUUUCCUGGGAGUUUGCACUAUGACUGAGGAUAAUAUGUAUUUGGAAUUGUAGAUCAUUUUAUGUUUCUACAAGUAUGAGAAUUAAAUCUUAAAGGGGGGACUAGAUUUAGGGUCAAAAGAAGUUAAAACGCAAGUUCAAUUCAAAUAGAUUGAAAAUUAAUUUUUUUAAUGUUUAUUUAUUUUGAGAGAGAGGGUGUGCAUGCAUGCACGUGAGCUGAGGAGGGGCAGAGAGAGAGAGAGAGAGAGAGAGAAUGAGAAUCCCAAUCAGGCUUCAUGCUGUCAGCACAGAAUCCAACAGUGGGGCUCAAACUCACGAACCACGGGAUCAUGACCUAAGCUGAAAUCAAGAGUCGGAUGCUUAACUGACCGAGCCAUUCAGGUGCCCCAAAUAUAUUUUCAAAAUAGAGACAAACGCUUUGCAGAAAGCAUUUUAGAGAUGAAUUAGAGUAAAUGCAUUAGAGUAAGUUAAUGACAUUGGUUUUUGCUUUAAACUUUUACAACCAAAAUUGUCAUGAGCCCUUCCUAGAACAUUGCUUACUGCCUUCCUCUUUAUCAUAGUGUAACAAAAUCUUCCAUCAUGCUUCAGAAAUCAGUAUAUGUUAUAUUUUACUUUAUUUUUAGGUGUGGAUCACAGUUUGUUUUUCAAAAAGAAAUCAUAUAUAUUAACAAACUUGAAGAUUCAGUGUUAUAAUAUGUUAAUAUAAGUAUCUAAAUGCUUCUUACUCAACAUUUGUCCAUCAAAAUUUUAUUUGCUUGAAAAAUUUUAUUGGAAAACAUUUCGAGAAUGUAAGCUUCCAAAAAAAACUAUAUGAUAAUUUCUAUAGUAUUAAAAUCAGUAUGGUGGUGGGGCACCUGGGUGGCUCAGUUACUUAAGCAUCUGACUUCGGCUCAGGUCAUGAUCUCGCAGUUUGUGAGUUCGAGCCUGCCG